CAGGUCUCCGCCAUCUUGUCAAAGAAUUUUGUUCAGCGUUCCGUGGAUAAACGGUGUACAACAGUGGAAAAUCCUCCCUCUCCAUGUGGAAAUUCAUCUUCAUCGCUGGUCGGAAGCGUGCCAUGCUUCAUCCCUCCGGUUACCCAGGAAUCGUAGGAGCUGCAACAGGUGGAAAGCCUCCAACAGCUCGACGUGGGGGCUCAAUGGGCUGGUAUGACCCGGCUGUACGGACGCUGAGACUUUCGGAUCCGGUAUGAGACUUGCAGGUGGCCUUGGUUUCUUGGACAGGUACAGAGGGCCAAGUCCCUACUGGCUAACAUGCGGAACUUGUUCAACUUCUUCCGGGGUGGUUCUAUCUGCUGAUUCUUGGAGAUAGACUGUCUGGAUGCACUGGUUCUGGUUGAUCGAGCAACUACAGUUAUUCAGACAAACAGGUCAUAGACGACAGGUGAAACGACUUUAACAACGGUGAACGGACCG